rnacentral:rRNA from 1 species
CCUACGGGGGGCAGCAGUGGGGAAUAUUGCACAAUGGGCGAAAGCCUGAUGCAGCAACGCCGCGUGAGCGAUGAAGGCCUUCGGGUCGUAAAGCCCUGUCCUCAAGGAAGAUAAUGACGGUACUUGAGGAGGAAGCACCGGCUAACUACGUGCCAGCAGCCGCGGUAAUACGUAGGGGGCUAGCGUUAUCCGGAAUUACUGGGCGUAAAGGGUGCGUAGGUGGGUUCUUAAGUCAGAGGUGAAAGGCUACGGCUCAACCGUAGUAAGCCUUUGAAACUGGUGAACUUGAGUGUAGGAGAGGUGAGUGGAAUUCCUGGUGUAGCGGUGAAAUGCGUAGAUAUUAGGAGGAACAUCAGUUGCGAAGGCGACUAUCUGGCACAUAACUGACGCUGAGGAGCGAAAGCGUGGGUAGCAAACAGGAUUAGAUACCCUAGUAGUC